rnacentral:rRNA from 1 species
GUUGCCAUCAGGUAAUGCUGGGGACUCUAAAGGAACUGCCUACGCAAGUAGUGAGGGAGGCGGGGAGUGACGUCAAAUCAGCACGGCCCUUACGUCCAGGGCUACACACGUGCUACAAUGGCCGAUACAGAGGGCAGCUACCUGGUGACAGGAUGCAAAUCUCCAAAGUCGGUCUCAGUUCGGAUCGGAGUCUGCAACCCGACUCCGUGAAGUUGGAUUCGCUAGUAAUCGCGCAUCAGCCAUGGCGCGGUGAAUACGUUCCCGGGCCUU